rnacentral:rRNA from 1 species
UACGAAGGGGGCUAGCGUUGUUCGGAAUCACUGGGCGUAAAGGGCGCGUAGGCGGCGCGACAAGUCAGGCGUGAAAGCCCCGGGCUCAACCCGGGAAUUGCGCUUGAUACUGUCGUGCUUGAAUCCGGGAGAGGGAUGCGGAAUUCCAGGUGUAGCGGUGAAAUGCGUAGAUAUCUGGAGGAACACCGGUGGCGAAGGCGGCAUCCUGGACCGGUAUUGACGCUGAGGAGCGAAAGCUAGGGGAGCAAACGGG